AUUAACAAGACAUAUUUAAGACUAACUAAAUCAAGUUAUGUUGUAUGAACAUAGAUGAUAUAUUUUCAGGUUAGAUAGUUUAGAUUAGUUACUUCAACACAUUUCUUAUUUGUGGCAGUAAAAUGUUAAAUUUAAGUUAGAUUAAUUCAAAUAUUAUAUUUUCAGCCACCUUGUGCUUUAUUAAUUAGUUUUACAUAAAUCUAUUUUGUCAACAGGUUCCACACAAAUGAAUUAAGUACAUCCAACUUAUUUUUUAAAAUUUAUUUUAUUGCCAACACAUUCAGUGAGCAUUUGUGUAAACCCAGUCCAAAAUAAAACACAACAGCUCAUUAGGGUUAGUAAUUAACAGUAUGUAGACAGAUGCAACAUCAAGACUUUAAAUUAAAUGUCUGUAUCUACCAGAAAUAGAAGAGAAAAAAACGCAUUGAAGAUCACAUAACACAUUGAUAAGAUGACACUUGAGUUAUGCACAUGUGAUGCUAGUAAGGUCUGUGAGUGUUUUUUUCUUUUAGUGUCUAAAAUGGAUAGCAAAGUUGCUAUUUGCAAUGAUUGCUUAGGGUCAGUCCAGUAACACAAUGCCAAUGAAGUGCUUUCCUUUAACAAUGCAAAGUGAAGUGUCCACCUCAACAGCCACAAUUAAAAAAAAAAAAAAUGUAACAACAACAACAAUAAUAAUAAUAAUAAUAAUAAUAAUAAUAAUAAUAAUAAUAAAUAGUCCACUGAUAUUAGCAAUCAAAGAAAAUUACAUCACCAUCCCAAAUAAAACUUUAACAAAACAUGCCAACAUUAUGGUCUAACAAUAAAACAGCUUGUCAGCGUUCAGUUUUUUUGCAACAGCACAGCAGUAACCAUUUAACACUCGCCACUGUCAACAUUUAUUUUACCAGUGUUUGGGCAAAAAACUUCAGAUGGAAACAUUUUAACAUGGAAACAAUUGUUCGUCUUUAAAAGUCCACAAAAUAUACAUUCAUCCUGCAUUCCCAACUUGGAUGAUCUGAUAUCCUCGUGUUGGUGUUGUUCCCAGACCAUCAUGAAAAUGUUGUUCCAGGUUCAACAUUGCAAGUGACCAAUCACAUUGUUGUGACGUUAUUCUAUUCCAAGCCAUUCGUGCAUUUAUGAAAUUCCAAUGUUGCAAGGACAAUAUCAAUUCUGCUUACUGUUUAUUAAAGGGUUACGGUUAGGGUUAGGGUCAGUUGAUCGGCGGACAGAGGCGGUUUCACGCAGCUUAAGUACAGUUUUUUGUUUUACGCCGGUUUUUCC
ensembl:lncRNA